GACGAACGCUGGCGGCGUGGAUUAGGCAUGCAAGUCGAACGGUAUCAUCCUUUCGGGGGUGAGAGAGUGGCGAACUGGUGAGUAACACGUAGGUUAUCUACCCUCAAGACGGGGACAACCCAGGGAAACUUGGGCUAAUACCGGAUGUGAGCAACUUUUAGUUGUUUGAAAGGUGGCGUAAGCUGUCGCUUGGGGAUGAGCCUGCGUCCUAUUAGUUAGUUGGUGAGGUAACGGCUCACCUAGGCAAUGAUAGGUAGGCGGCCUUAACGGGUGGUCGCCCACACUGGGAUUGAGAUACGGCCCAGACUCCUACGGGAGGCAGCAGUCGAGAAUAGUCUACAAUGGUCGGAAGACUGAUAGUGCGACGCCGCGUGAACGAUGAAUCCCUUCGGGGUGUAAAGUUCUUUUCUAUACGAGCAGUGCUAUAUAUAUGGAUAGUAUAUAUAGAGGGAUAGUAGUAUAGGAAUAAGCAACGGCUAACUCCGUGCCAGCAGCCGCGGUAAU
rnacentral:rRNA from 1 species